rnacentral:lncRNA from 1 species
CUGGUUUGGUAUUACCAUAAAUGACAAUGAAAGUAACUUUGUAAAACAAAGACUUACACUUGCUUAAAAGAGCUGUAAAAAGAAAUCCUGCAACAACUUCAGCAACUGAAUCAGAUUUUCAAUAUGAGGUUGUGCGUUUUUUGCGUGGUGCAUCAGAUCGCAAUGGCAGAAAAAAAGUUAGACAAGACCAAAAAAACAAACAAGCCAAGAAAAUGAUGCCUACAUCAAGUUUUCCAAUGCCAUUAAAUAAUUUAGUUCAGAAGAUGAAUAACAUUGCUAAUUAAAAUAAGCAUCUUUAAUUACAUAUUUGUUAUCUUUAUUUUACAAUAUUUUAUAUAUUUUUAAACUCAAUAGAGUAAAGUUUUUUUGUGUAAUGAGUAUUAUUGAUCUGUGUUUUUCAUAUUCAUUCCUUUUUACAGUAACCUUUUGUAUAUGAGAUUGUAGAUGAGAAUUUAAAUCGUGAUAUUAAAUCUUACCAGAGAAUAAAGAAACCGUUUACCUCAACCAGAGUUAUAUUUCAUAGAAUUAUGUUGACCAUGAUCCAAAUAUUGCCAUGGGUAUAAGAUAGAUGUUUGAUUUGCAAAAGGCUCACCAUCGCCCUUAAGUUGCUGUGAGUUUUACGGUUUUACUUCCAACCUGGCAUAUAAAUGCACUUAGUAUCCGAAGUUUUUUGUCAAUAACUGGUGAUCAGACUUUCAAACGAACACGUUUUUAAGGGCUGAGAAGGUGAAAGUUAGAAGUCUGCAGACUGCAACGUAAAUCAAUUUUCAACACAUGGUUUUCUGAAUAUAUUUAGUUUUCGAUUGAAAUGAGAAUAAACUGAACUUAUAGAUAUGUUGAAAAUUAACUAUUUUAUAUUUUAAACGUUCGCUAAACGCAAGUGAAGCAAUAAUCUAUAGAUGCAAAUAUACUUUAUAUUUUG